ensembl:lncRNA
AAUGAAACUGUCAAACGAGUUCAGAAAUCCAAUUCAGUGUUUUCUUGCGUGAUUUCAGAGUAUCACAGCUCUAUCAAUGGCCUCAAACAGGAGCUUGCGGAUUCCAUCAUGUACUCCGUCAGAGGACACCCUUUAAAGAGGGAAGAGUCAUCUGCCUCCCGUGGUCUUCCAACGCACAGACCACCAGGGGAAGUGAGGGAGCGAAAAAGAAAGCAAGAGAAAGAUAACUGAGGAGAUUGGACAGUCGGGAGCUUUUGAAGAGAAGACAGACCAAAUUCUGUCCUCAAGAACAGCGAUAACGGACGUGGGGUCCCACUGGGGGAUGGGACAGAGAAGUAUAUAUGAAAUAUGAAAGAAGAUGACAGUUUUAUCUGUUUGCAGAACAUGUGGACAGUGUGGACUGUUGUCCUUUCACCUGGAGCCAAGACUCAUGAACUACAUGGUUGAGAGUGUUGGGAAAUAUGCAUCCUGUUUUACGGUCGGCAAACUUCUGUUGACUGAAUACAAUAGUUAAAAAUCGGAGGCUUUUUCAGGCCAUUCAUGGAGGUUCUUUGUAUGAAAAAGGUCAAAUAAAGGGUGUUUUGACAAUAUUUUGGUGGC